rnacentral:rRNA from 1 species
UACGUAGGUGGCAAGCGUUGUCCGGAUUUACUGGGCGUAAAGAGCGCGCAGGCGGUCGUUUAAGUCGAAUGUGAAAGCCCCCGGCUCAACUGGGGAGGGUCAUUCGAUACUGAUCGACUUGAAGGCAGGAGAGGGAAGUGGAAUUCCGGGUGUAGUGGUGAAAUGCGUAGGUAUCCGGAGGAACACCAGUGGCGAAGGCGACUUCCUGGCCUGUUCUUGACGCUGAGGCGCGAAAGCUGGGGGAGCAAACGGG